rnacentral:lncRNA from 1 species
CUUUUUCCUUUCCUUUCCUUUUUCCUUUCCUUUCCUUUUUCCUUUCCUUUCCUUUCCUUAUAGUCAUAUCUUCCUUACUCUAAAUCCAGUACUUUAUUCACUGUGUCAUCUAGGGUGACUCUGGAACAUGGACAACUGUUAGGGGGAGAUAAAUUCUGAGGCAUGGGGCUAGAUUCUUUGGCGUCUCCCAGCUACUCUUACUUUCUCUCACCAUUUUUUAAAAAUCUGAAGCUUGAACACUAUCCAAUUCAAUAAACAUUUAAUAUGCAUUCACCAUGCUGGGAUACUUAGCCGGCAAACUAAAAAUGCAACCAAAAAAAAAAUGAACCAGUUCGGGAGUAUGUAUUGUAAUAGGAGAAGAGGAAUGUAUUGAAAGGAGGUGGUGAUUGAGUGGUUCCCAAAACACAGAGUGAUUUUAAGGAGGCUUAUUGCACUAACAAUUAAGGUGUUCUGAAUUGGGGAAGCUUCAUGAAAGAAGGUGUUGUUUGAACUGAAUCGUGAAGAGAGAUAAGAAUUCUAAGAGGGAGAAAUUAAGGUUGAGAGAACUCCAGAAAGUGUGUGUGUGUGUGUGUGUGUGUGUGUGUGUGUGUGUGUGUGCUGGUUUAUGUAAUUUCAUGGAAGAGGAGGAGGAAUGUUGAGAUUGAAAACAGUUGGGUAGAUUGUGGAAAGUAUGAAGUGGCUGGGGGGAGAAGAGUAAUGUAAAGUAAGCCAGAAAAAGCAGUUUCUUUAAUGCUAUACUGUUUGCUUUUUAUUCUAGAGACAAUAGGAAGCUAGUGAAGAUUUUUUUGAGGAGGAAAUUAACAUGGACAGAUUUGUGUUUUAGGGAAAUGGCAGUUGGGUAGAAGCAUAGAUUGGUGAGAAGCAAGACUAGAAACUUGGAUUACAAUAAAAAGGUUAAUACAACAGUCCAGGAGAGAGGGGACAAGGACUCAAACUAGAGCUGUGGGAGUGAAAAGAAGAAGUUGGAUAGAUGAACAAGACAAUUAAAGACUGAGAAUGAACAAAACUGCCAUCUGAUUUAGUUGAGAGGUGAGAGAUAAGAAUCAAACAUGAUUCAGAGAAAUCAACUUAAGUGUUAAAAAUAAAGUUGAAAAGAGGGACUUAAGAGUUAGAAGGAAAAUACAUUGAGUUCUUUUUUGAAAUGCUGAUGAAAAUCGUCUAUAUAGAGGUAAUAACUGAGCCAAGAGAAGAGUUGAUAUUACCAGUGGAGAAAGCGCACAGGAAAAAAGAGGAAAGAAUCCAGUACAGAAUCUUAGGGGACCCCAUGCUUGAGGAUGUUGGAGAUAGAUAAGGAGUUAGAAAUGGGAACACCAAGAAAGAGUAGCUUCCUCAAACCAAGGGAGUAGGGAGUUUCCCAAUGGAAGGAAUGCCCAGUCAAGUCAAAAUCUGCUAGGAGAUUGAGAACUAAGAAAAAGAAUUUGUAUAUAGCCCCUAAAAGACCAUUGGUGACUUCAGUUAUAUGCCAGAUUGUAGCAGGGGUCCUCAAACUUUUUAAAUAGGGGGCCAGUUCACUGUCCCUCAGACUGUAGGAGAGGGCUGGACUAUAGUAAAAACAAAAACUUUUUUUUUGUGGGCCUUUAAAUAAAGAAACUUCAUAGCCCUGGGCCACAUCUGGCCCGUGGGCCUUAGUUUGAGGACCCCUGAAUGUAGGGAGUUGGUGAAGAAGUAUAAUUAGUAAGCACAGAAGUUUCUUUCUAAGAACUUGGUAGUGAAAGAAAGGAAAGCUUCAGGACAAUGGCUUGAGGCAAUGGCAAGGCCAAAUGAAGGUUUCCUAAGGGACUACAUAGCCUCUCUUUUGCUGGUGAUCACAUGAUCAGUUAGACUGCCAUGAGAGUUCUUUCAAGCAUGAUUAAAUUAAAUUCAACAAACAUUAAUCACUGUGGCGUAUCUGACAGGCAUGGGAGUCCCUCAGAACUGUGGCCUUGGGGACUCCUGAUAACCUGCAGUCCUUUGGGAGUUUCAGUCCCUAUAGGUCAUCCUGCGUGGGCUCUGUUGUUAUUGGUCCUGGCUCCAGGGUAUUUGUCUCAGGUGUGUGGGUGUGUGUGCUCAGAUUGUAUCCAUCCAGGAGCACAGAAAGUCCAUAGAGACUGACCUGUACUGGUCACAGCCAGAAGUGGUGAUUAAUGGAGCUGCAACAUCCACUAGUGAGGGUCUGGAGGGAUACCACUUUCUGGCAUGUUAACAAUGGCCAGCUUGUGUAAGAGGUGACAUUUACAACAUCACUGAAGAUGUGGGUUACUAGGAAACGGAGUGAACCAGUCACGAUGGACAAAUUGUAGGGGGGAUAGACAUUGGUUAGAUGAGAUGAUCUCAAAGGUCUUUUCCAACUUCGAGAUUGUUCCCUGCAGUGAGAAUGAGAAAUAGUAGAAGGAGUACAACGAUCCCUGAAAGAUAUUAAAGGAACAAGAGAACAAUGGGAACAUUUAUGGAAAACAUGGAUGAAGAUAACAUAGGAUGAAAAAGCAUAGAUGGCCCCAUGAUAUUCAGCUGUCGGGGUGAAACCACAGAAAAGAAGCUUCAAGUAUUAUCUGAUCCUAUUUUCAAGAUCCAUGCAGAGGGGAAGUUCCUAUCAAUAACAACAGCAGUACUGUUAUCACUAUACUUUAAUAAGAAACUUAAAUAAUUCAGAGGUUAUACGAUAUAGUGGAUAGGUCUUCCUGGCUCCAUGAGGCCCAGUGGUCUAUGUACUUAUCUCUGUAAUUGCUUUAUAGAUCCAGAUCCUAUCUCUAUUAUACAAGUCACAUAUUUACAGGGUCAGAGAGUUAUGAUACACUUUAGCUAUCUGACCUCAUUUUAUCCUAAUAAUAUUCUUGCUGUGAGAUCAGUAGUAUAUGUAAUAUUUGGUUCAGAUGUAUGAUUUUAUCAAUAUAGGAAAUUUGUAGCAUGCAAGUCCCUUUUUAGUGGAGAUGGGCAAGUUCUUUUAAAUACAUUGACCUGAAGAACUGCCUAGGGCCUGAUGAGAUUGCAUAACUUUGUCAUGUUUCAUAGCUGAUUAUAUGUCAGAGACAAGACUCAAACAAGGUCUUUCUAAUGCUGUAGCUGACCUCUGACCUUUGAUCUACCUAAUCCUCCAUCUGGCAAAUUGAGUCAAACUAAUUCUAUAGCAGAAGAAAUUAAUGUCCAGAAAAGGAAGGAGCUUUCUUAGGAACUGAGAAUUUCUAAGACAAUAUUUUAAUAAAUUUUAAUAAAAGUUUACUGACUCAAAGAUGAAAAUUUUUGCCAGUAUCACAUAAUGCCUUCUCUCUCCAUCUCCUGUUAGCAUAAACCAUGCACUGGGCCAAAUCAAACAAAGAUGAAAUAAUAGCUAGUAUGUAUAUAAUACUUUGAGAUUUGCAAGGGGCAUCAUCAAUAUUAUUUUAUUUGAUCCCAACAACAACCCUGGGAGCUAAUUUUUUUAUUACUAUUUUACUAUUAUUUUAUUACUUUUUCUGCACAAACCUUUUUUUUAGUUUAGUUAUUUUUAAUACACAUUGUUUUAUGAAUUAUAUUGGGAAAGAAAAAUCAGAGCAAACGGGAAAAACCAUGGAAGAGAUUAAAAAAACAGAAAAAAGAAAAGAAUAUAGCAUGUGUUCAUUUACAUUCAUUCUCCUCAGUUCUUUCUCUGGUUGCAGAUAAUAACUCAUUAUUAAUGUUCUGUUAAUUAGAAAUAAUAAAUAGGAAAAUUGCCUUCCAUGGGGCUGCAGAGUUCCCUCUAAGACGUGGACGUUGGGUAUACUCUACAUCUGUAAGGGAGGGAAGACUUCAAAAUCAUUAUGCAAAUAACCUUGUCUAAGGUGGGUCAUAAACUCCUUUUGGUUGAAAAUUAUAUGGACACUCAUUCCUAUAGUGCUUACUGGUUUAUUUUUCAUGCAACCCUGUAUGUUGCAUGAGAAAAGUAAAAAUAUUAAAAUCUUCUUACAAGAGGGGAAAUUUUGUCAGAGGCUCAGAGAUGUUGAGAGGCUUUGCUCAGGUAGUAAGUAUCAGAGCUGAGGUUUGGUCUGUGCGACCAAACCUGCUUCAAAUUUAGUGUUCUAUGACAUAAUACAUGUUCAUUUUCAUGCAAGGUAGAAAGGAUUCCUGAUCCACCAGAAAAAUCCUGCCCUGAUACUCAGACUAGAAUUCUAGCCUGCCUCAGUCAUAAACCUAACAUUGGACAAGUCUGCUUCGUCUCUUUGUGCCUUAUUUUCCUUUUCUGCAAAGUGAGAUAGUUGCAAUUGCUGUUCACUCAGGUUCCACUCAACCUAAGCAUCCUGAGAUUCUCUGAGGCCCAUCAGGUUUCCUUCAGUGUCCUGGCAUGUUGGGAGGGGCUCAUGUGAAUUCUAAAGUCCCGUAGGCUUCCCAUCUGUCUGUAGCAGAGGGACUGGGGCUAGGAUGAGACAUGUCUCACACCUCAUUUGAAGCUGAAACAGAAUCCACUCAGCUUAGGGGAUCUCAACCCCUCCCUUCCCCUUCCCCCUAAACACCCCCCUCUCUAGACCACAUGCUCUGCCAGCUGCAGAUACACUGAUGUCAUCUCCCACAUUUCCCGCUGAUGGCAUCCAUCUGUGAUAGACAGGACACAUUGAGCCUAGGGGCACCCACAGCUUAAUUUGGAACCCAGGCAUUCAACCAAAGACAGGUGCUGGGAGCUCAGCUUAGGGGGUUACACUCCCCAAGCACUUUGGACCCCUGCUCCAAGAUCCAGCUUUAUUUGUCCUAGACCUAUUUAAGGGAGACUUUGUGACUAUAAGGAACUAGCUUUUCUACAGGAGGUGAGACUUCAUAACUCUGGGAAGAAGGAAACUGAAGUUAUUAUCCUAUUGUGACCUAUUACCUGUGUACAGGGGACAGCCAAGAUCCAAUCAAUCACAGAAUUAUAAAAAGUCAAAAUUGCAUACACCUCUGAGAGCAUUUAAUACAAUCUAUACCUUAAUAGGAGUGCCUUUACAAAGCCAGACAAAUAUUCAUCCACGGAUGGGGAGCUCACUAUUUCCAGAGAUAACCUAUCCCACUUUUGGAUGCCUUUACAUUGAGUUUGUGAUUAUUUCAAGCCUAAUUCUGCCCUUUUUGUAACUUUCACCCAUUAUCCCCAGUUUUGCUCUCUAUAAUUUAUCUUUUAAAAGCCAAGAAUCCUCAGUGUAUUCAAGAGAUUCCACUUAAGUAACUUGAUAUCCCUUCUCCAAAAACUCUUCCACUCCAGUAAUGGGGAACUCAUCUCCAGAAGUAGCUUAUCUCACUUUUGGACACUUCUAUUUAUGGGGAAGUUUGUGCUUAUUUCAAAUAAAAAUCUGCUUUAUUCAAACUUUUACCUAUUAACCCCAGCUUUGCUGUCUGUAGUUUAACUAUAGAUAACUUAAAAAACCAAGAAUCCUUAGUACAUCCAAGAGAUUCCAUCUAAAUAUCUUGGAAGCCCUUCUCCAGAAACCCUUCAUUAUAUAAUUUUGUCCUUCCUAAAAUGUGGUGCUUGGAACUGGACACAGGGCUCCACAUGUACCCUGACUAGGGCAGAGAAAGCCAGACUAGCAUUUUCUUAGUGUUGGAUGAUGAGCUCCUAUUGCACUAUUGUAUUUGAAUUGCUCCAGCACACCAUUGUUUCCUAUUUAGUUUAUGAUCCCUCAACCUUCAGCUUUUCCAGACACUGGUAUGGAGCCAGGGCUUUCCCAGACUAAACUUUUGCAUCUGAUUUUUUAUAACCAAAUUUAGCAUUUUAGAUUUAUUCCUUUUAAAUUUUCUCUUAUUAAAUUUGGCCUAAUUAAGAAGAAGGCAAAAUGAUCUCAUCUCUUGACAUUUCUAUGCUUUUCAGAAUGCAUGAUAUCUUUCUUGCCCUCUGCUGUUCUUAUUUUUGUUGCUUUUCUCUUUUAUUGUAUAUAUAUAUAUAUAUAUAUAUAUAUACAUAAACAUACAGACAUGCAUAUUUAUGUACAUAUAGUUUAUGUAUAUAAAUAUAUCUAUAGUUAUAGAUACAGUUAUACACAGAGAUACAUAUCCAGCCAGCCAUCUAUCAUCUAUCUCUCCCUGCCUCUAUUUACCUAUCUGUUUUUUUCCCUGUCUUUUUACCUGUUUAUCUUUCUCUGACUACUUAUUUAUCUGUCUGUUUUCCUAUCUAUAUCUACCUGCCUAUUAAUUAAUUGAUCUAUCUACAUAUCUGUCUAUUUAUAGAUAUAAUUUCUGUCUUUCUGUCUCUAUCUUUAUCUGUCUCUCUGUUUCUCUGCAUUUCUCUAUCUGUGUCUGUUUCUCUUUCUGUGUAUUUCUUCUGAUGUCUCUGUCUGUCUCUUUCUCUCUGUCUCUCUGUCUCUGUAUUUCGUGUCUCUCUACCUCUCUCUAUGUCUCUCUCUCUUUAUAUCUGUCGUUGUAUCUGUAACUCUAUCUCUAUAUUUCUGUGUCUCUCUGUCUCUGUGUAACUGUCUCUGCCUCUCCCUUUCUCUCUCUCUCUCUGUAUAUUUCUCUUUGUGUGUCUCUGUCUCUCAUGAAAAAAAAAAUUGAUCAUUGAACAUUUGCAAGUAAUUACCACUUGCCAAACCCUGUGCUUGGUGCUCCUGGAGGAAACCAAGAUAAUGAAUAGAUUCAAUCCUUGUUCUCUGGGAGUUCACCUUCCAGUAAGAUGAAAUUAUAAGUAAUUCCAAUAAUUCUGCAGUUUGAUGAGGGUCCUAAGGGAGGACCAAAGUUCAUUGAAAGGGGGGACAAAGAGAUUCCUUCUGAUUUAAGAGAAUGGUACCACUGUAGAGUUGGAGCUGGAAGGAAACUAAAAGGAUGUCUCCUCUAAAGGUUGUUAUUCUUUUUUAUCCUUCAUUCUCAGAGGACUAAGACACUAAGCAGGUGAUGCCAUGACAUGCAAGUGAAUUGGAUUUAAGUGAGGGAAGGGCUGGGCAAGAUUACCCGCCUCACUUUCCCCUCUAGAGCCUUCUGUGUCCAUUGGAAAGAUUCAAUCAAAAUGAGUGAAGAUGACCCUGGAUGAAAUGAAAGAUCUUGGUCUUUUUAAAGCUAAGGUCUUCAACAGGUUUCAGUUUGACUGAGACCACAUCCAUUCAAUGAUUAAGGGUAGGUAGCAAAGAAUCCCCUAUUUCACCUAGUCCUCCCUCCCCUCUCAGAUCUAAAUAAAUAAAUCUGGGAGGGAAAAGAUCCUCUGGUUUUUUAGACAAAGCAGAAUUGACUGCUAUUUCCAUUUAAUCUGAAUCAAUCAGGAUCCAAACAGUGACCAAAUGGGUCUUUGUCUAAAAAGGCGCUAUUUUACAACAUUCAGAAAUUGGAUUCAGAAAAGAAAAAUUACUUAUUGCAUAGGAAGUAAGUGACUCAGACUCUCUGAUGUCAGAUCUACCCCCAACUAGACUUUGUACCAGUUAAAAUCCUUUCAGCUCUCUCUGUAUAUGGAUCAAAUGAAAUAAAGGACUGGAAAGUGUUCUGAAAGACAUAAAACCUGUAAGAAAUUAUUGCUGGAAUCAGAUCCAGGAAAAAGGAAAUAUUGAACCUAAUGAAAUUAAUCCCUAAUUGGGGAAUUUCAUGAUGUAGAUAAUAAAUCAUAGAUUUAAUGCUAGAAGAUUAUGAAAGGAUAUCACAGGUCCUGAAUUCAAAUCCCAGUUCAGCUGCUUACUUCCUAUGUGAUCUGGGGUAUUUAUCUUUUUUGGGCCUCAGUUUCCUCAUCUAUCAAAUGAUCAGAUUGAAUUAGAUACCCUUUAAUAUUCUUCUUCUAGCACUAAAUCUAUGUCAUAAUUUAACUAUUUAUUAUAGAGAUCUGCAGACUCAUUGUGUUUUGUGUUCCACUCAUUUUGAAAGUGUGUGUAUGUGUAUAUGUGUGUGUGUAUGUGUGUGUGUGUGUGUGUGUGUGAAAGUGAGGAUGGGUUUGGAGCCAUUGAUCACUUCCCUAGUGCCCAGAACCCUCCAUCUGAAGAGUUCCUGUAAUCAUGAAGAAAGGGGGAUGGUUGGCUAAGGAGGGUAGAAUUUUUCUAAUGGCAUCUAUAUGGCUGCUACUGGGGGUACUCAGGUAGCAGUUUGGAGGGAGGGAUAGGGAAUAUUGGAGGACAAAGGUAGAUGCUUUUGAGUGGAAGAUAAACCCAAGAUGGCUAUUUUAAGGGGAGUGAUGUGAUUCAUUUCAUCGAUUCAUUCAUUCAUUAAAUCACAUACUCAUUGACAUUAGGUUAUGUUCCCCAGAAAGCCAUAGCCCUCACUUCUGAGGCUACUGCUCAGGACUGCUUAGAGAAAGGCAGAACAAGGGUGGUAUGGCCAUGGAAAAGGUGGAGGGAUAAGACAGAAAGUAAAAGAGAGGCAGGCAAGAAGGAAAAGAAAGAUAGAGCCAGCUUGUGGAUUAACCCCUGGAUUGAGAGUGAUAAAGCGUGCCUAGAAUCAGAAAUUCCCUAGUUGGAGGCUGCCCAAGUCCAAGACCAUAUGCUGUGAGCUCAUAAUUUCAUGCCUUGAGCUAAUUUUUCAGUUAAGAAAGGAGCCCUGGCUCAGCUCAGUGGUUCUUUGCCCCAGCAUUAUGAGUCCCCCGCUGGUGCCUCAUUGUGGUGUGAAGGUGACCCUCAGCUCUUGGAGCUAUACUAGAGAAGUCUUAGCUCUGAUAGGUCCUACUAGUUAAGCAAAAAUGGCUUCAGGGACUAGGCUAGUAUCAAGCAUUGUCCGUGUGUCAUACAAAGACCAAACCCCUGAGCAUAGAGACUCACCAGAAAACUCGCUUGUCAGUGCCUUUUUUGGCUAUAGCAUCUCAAAAAUACUCGUACUAAGAUGGGUAAGGAUUGGAAUCUGCCUCUAGUGGGGGGAAUUUCAGAGAAGUCAUAGAUCCAUGAAGCAUCAGAACAUUUCCUUGGCUUUCCCACUGAUAUUCUUCCACAGAGUUGAAAUGACCCAAGGCCAGAGGUAUGCUAGAGUUAGUUCAUAUCACUCAAAUUGUUAAAUUUUUAGUGCUAUCAUUUAUACCUUGGAAACCAGAAAUUGGGGUUUGAAUGACUAUUUUACUGAUUAUCUAGUUUUAAAAGUGAUGGAGAAAAUAUUAAUAAUUCAAAUUAAACUUAAAAGUGUGGCCUGAAACUUUCCUCUUCUCUUCUUCCCACACAUUUAUCUUACAUUUACUAGUAUACCUCUUAUCCUGAAGUAAGAGACUUUAUUGCUUGUGCCAAGUUGGGGAGAUUUCAAAUAACCUACCUGAUGAUACCAUGUUGUCUAUCACCACUGACAUAAACAAUUAGCAUUUAUUUAAUGUUUUAAAGUUUGCAAAUCAUUUUGGGCAAGUGGUUUUUACUGACUCUAAUGACAACCCCGUAAGGAAGUUUAGCAAGCCUUCACCAUUUUGACAUGUGCAGAGAAAAAAGAGAGUGCCUUGCUUUGCUUUUAGGAGCUGGACUAAAUGAUUUCUAAGGUUCCUUCCAAGUUCUAAAUCUAUCACCUCUAGUGUCAAGGGUGAGAUUUGAACCUAAAUCUUCCUUGUACUAUUCACUGCUUGACUGUUAGGAAAUUUUUUUCAUUCACAUCAAUCUAUGAAAACUUUUUAGGAUGCAUUGAAAUGAUCGGAGUCUAUGUCAAUAGAGGGAUCAUUAAUUCCAGAGAAAUGAUGGAUUCUUGAAGUUUUAAGGUGAAAUCCUUCAUUAGAUGAAAGACCUCAUAUACAAUGUUCCAUACCCUUAGUGUCCUUUCUCCUAUAAAGAAGGCAAAACAGUCAUUUUCUCCUGGAUCACGCUUAUCCAUAAUUAACAGCAUUUGUUUUUGUUUUGUUUCUGUUGUUAUUCUCUUAACUUAUGUUAAUAAUAGACUCAUAAAUCAAAGGAGCAGAUAAACUAGAAAAACAUGAGCAAAAAUAGGUAAAUAAAUUCAGUAUUCUUGGACAUCCUGGUAGUAUGAUAAAGCCCCCUAGGUCUGUUAUCAGAAGACCUGCGUUUUUAAUAUUUAACUAAUAAGAUGAAGGGCUAGAUACUUAUUCUGGUUCUUCUGAUCUUUUAAUCCUGUCCAAAAACAGAAUUAUGCUUAAGAAAUAAAGCAAUUUCUUCUGUUCUUCUGAUCUAUGACACCAAGAACAUCAAAAAGGAAAUAACUCAAAAAAGUAACAACAGAGAGUGCUAAAUUCCUCCCCUUCUAGUGCUCAUUCAACACUUUCUCUCAUUUUGGGCACCAUGCUCCCAUAAGAACAAACAAGAAAACUCGGAGGCUUACAAAAAAAUUCAAAUCUGCCUACCCUCCACUCCAUCCUUUUCUCCACAUGCAGGAGAGAACCACAAGACAAAAGCUUGCUUUGGGCAGAUGGUAGUGUGAUAGUACUCUGUGCUGCAACAGAGCCCAGGUAGAGAAUUAAGAAAAAGAGGAAACUAGGGCAAGACAUAUGUGUGUGCUGUUCCACUAAGCUUAGGGAAAGGGGAAUUGUCAUCAAACUAGAACCACUUCUGUCCUAACACUAAUCAUCUGGGGCAGAUUGGAGUUGGUGAAACCUAAAUUGUUCAAUGUAGAAGGAAGUUGUUGAGUUCUAGGUUUCAGAGAAAUCAUCAUCAAAGGUAAGGAGUCAAAAAAUGAGCAAUAGGGGAAUAGAAAGAAGAAAAUACUGAAAUCACAAAAGAUUUCUGGAGCAAGAAAAGACCCCGAGUACAAACAGAUAAAGCAGCAGGGAAGACAUUAACAACAGAAGGGAAUGUGAUCUUUAGAUCAGUUUAAUCAGAUAUCUAUGAAUAAAUAUUGCAAGACAAAGGAAAAUGAAUAAAUAUCUGCUGAGACAGAGGACCCUAUGGGUUCCUGAGAGAUCAUGCAACCAUGGCAGGACGCUCCUGGAUGAUUCAAAAGAAAGAUAAGAAUUGUAAAAGCAAAGUUAAUGGUCUUUAAAGCAGAAAAAAAUCAUUACGAUACACAAACUUGAAUCCAUAGUGGAAAACCGUACCAAAGAAACAAAAGAGAGAACAACUGAGUGAGAAUUCAAAAACACAGAAAUGAGAAAAUAUGUGAAGGAAAAGAAGCAAAAAGCUCUCAUGUUAAAAGAAAACCUGGUUUCCACGAAAGCAAAAUAUGUUGAUCUAGGAGACAGAAUGUGUAGAGACUAUAUAUACACAUACAGAUUUUAUACAUACGUAGCUAACAUAUGUAUGUAUGUAUGUAUUUCAGAAAAAUACAAAUUAAAAAAACAUGCUAUACACCAUAAUUUAAGAAAUGUUAUAAGAAAGCUAUCCAUAACUUCUGAAAAUUUUCACAAAAUUACAUGAGUCUAUGAAUUGUGUGAAUAAGUCAUGUUACCUCUCUCAGCAUCAGCCUUCUCAAUGAUCUUAAAAGGUCCUUCCAGCUCUAACUCUUUUUAUCCUAGAACUUUUAGAAGGGGUAUUCCAUUUAGGUGUUUGUCUCUAGGUGUUUCACCAGAUUGGUGAGAAGCCUAGAGAUCAUGACUUAGGAAAACUAGUUUAAGACACUCAUGCUAUUUAACUUACAGAAGACCAUAAAAGGACAUAGUUGCCCUCAAAUAUUUAAAGGAAUGUCAUGGAGAAGAAGGUUUAGAGUUAGUCUGCCUGAUCACAGGGAAAGGGAAUGAGAUAAAACUAGGAUUAAUGAAGAGAAAUUAUAAAUAGGCAGAUUUCAAUUAAAUAUAAGGGAACAUUUUUCUAACAAGGAUUUCCAGUUAAGAUAACCCUCACUCAGGGUUCCUAACUCUGGACUCCCCACAGAAUGGGGUUAAUCCUAGAAUCUCUGGUCUCUAAGGAGAGGGCUAAGAAUUUUGUCUCCUUAUCUCUGACUUCUUCCCCUUCUUCCAAGGUAAAACUUUAGAGACAAUCAUUUAAACAAAAAUUUGAUUCCUACUAAGGGUUCCUUCUGGAAUGCAAACAACAUGCAAAGUAGAAUAGGAAUAGUACAGUUUUUUUCCUUUCCUCAACCAUUAAAGAAAUGCAUAUAACACAAAAAAUUUCUAAGUGUGCAUUGACAUUACACUCUACCAGAACUGUUACAUAAAAUAUUCAAACUAAUAUUUCUGGAACACUAGGCCCAUUUCCUCAUCUACUAAAUAAUGAUAAUAACCAAUGCCCUGCCUACCUCAUAGGGUUUCUGUGAAGAUUAAAUGAGAAAAUACACAUAAAAUGUUUCAUAAACCUUAAUGAGUUAUAGAUAUGAACUAUUUUUAUUGGGCAACUCUGAUUGUUAGAAUGUUCCUUCUUAAUUUGAGCUCUCUCCUCUUCUUUUCCUUCUACUUUCUCUACUAGGAUUCCUAGUUCUCUUUGAGGUCUACUAAAUUUGACUGUCAUAAAUUAUUGUCACUAACAUAUGCCUUUUCUCUACCCCUUCUAUCUUCUUACCUCCUUCCCUCCAUUGAGAAAGCAGAAAAACAAAGCGACUGUGGCAAACAUGUACAAAAAAGCAAAACAAAUCAUUGCAUUGGCCUUUUCCAAAAACAAACAAACAAAUCCAUAAGCUUCAAUCUAUACUCUGAGAUCAUUUCUUUUCUAUCAGGAUAGUAUGUUUCAUCAUGAAUCCUCUGGAAUUAUAAUUUGUUAUUGUAUUGAUCAGAGUUCCUAAGUCUUCCAAAGUUGUUUAUUUUUAUAAUAUUGUUGUUCUGGUGCUGCUCAAUUCACUUUGCAUCUGUUUUUAAAUGUCUUUCCAUAUUUUUCUGAGACCACUUCCUCCCUCAUUCCUUAUAGCAUUACAGUAUUCCUUAUAUCAACGACUUGUUCCUCAACUAUUCAACUAUUUGUACUAUCCCUUAAUUGAUGGGCACUCCCUAAGUUUACAAUUCUUCAACACUAUAAAAAUAUUUUGUACACAUCGAAUUUCCCCCUCUUUCUUUGAUUUCUUUGGUAUAUAGAUUUGGUGGUACUACCUUUAGAUUAAAGUGUUGCACAGUUCCUCAGCUCUGCCUUCAAGCAUCAGCAAGUUGCCCCUACAGUUCUUUGAGGGAGAGAGACCCCUAGACUUGAAUUAAGCCACACACAGGCCCAGAACAGCGGCUGUGGGUUGGUGGGAUCCUGGAUGUGUGCCCCAUAAAAUGGGGAGCCUGAGUGUUUAGAAGCAGAGGUAUGGGAAUACUGGGAUUAUUUGGUCAGGGAUCACAUUCAUAGAUGAUGGCCCAGAAGUGAGAGUGUGACUCUCCUGUAGCAUGGACCUAAGCUGUGGAUAAUUCUCCAUUAUUUUUUCCUACUAUGACUGUACUAAAAUAGUAAGUUAUAUGCCCUUUGAUUGAGGGAGAAUUUAGACGGGGUUUGAAGGAAAUGAGUUCAUCAGUCGCCACUGAAAGCGUUCCAGAUAUAGCAUCAAACCAUAGAAAUCAGCAAGAAAUAGAAUUCCCUAGAUUGAACCCACUUCAUGUGAUGUCAUAUCAAAGAUCCUAAAACACAUUAGGAAAGAGGACAGAUGGGCUCUGUUUCUGAUGAAGCCUUGAGAGGAGGCCUGGAAUGCCAAGGAGGUGCUCACACUCACACAUUGGCAACAAGACAAUGGUUUUUGAAUUUAAAUUGAAAGUAGUCUUAAUGUAAAGCUUGCCUUUGUAUCUUGCUACCCGUGAGAAAUUGAGCAAGUCAGAUAAUUUUUCUGGCUCUUAGGAGUAAAAGGAAGACAUCUGUCCAGAUGGGCUUUAUGGACCUUUUCAGUUCUAGAUUACAUCGCUUCUGUCCUCCAUAAGUUUUAGGGCUACAAGGUAUGAGAUUCCAGCCCAGGUUUAUCACAGUCUGCACAAAUGACAGUGUGUGAAUGGCUAGGCCCAACUGCAGCCAGACUCCUAAGUCUCUUCAUCAUAGCUAGUAAAAAGAGGAGGAAAAGCACCCUGGACCAGGUGUCAGAGAAUCUGAUUUGGAUUCCUGGUUCUGUUCUUUCCCCACAGAACUCGGUUUCUGCGUCAGAAAAAAUGGGGUUCCCACCGUAAGGCUCUUUCUAACUCUGAUAUUUUAUGACUUGGACUCGUGUGCUGAGAGUCCAUUCAGGUGGAAGGAUAAACACCUUGAUCUAAGGCCCUGUGUUGGCUUCUUGCAUUGGAUGGAACCUGGAUUCUGGUGGUCAUAGACCGCUGUUAAUGCUGCUGCUGCAGAUCAGACAUGCCCAGGGGAAUCCUAAAGGAGCAGAGGAGAGAAAGUUCCUGGCCACUGUCUUCUACAAGCAAACCAUCCAGGGUCUUGGAUUGUGGAUGCAAAACGUUAUUUGAUAAUCUCAUUUGUUAACAAUAAAUGUCAACAAAAUGGGAGCCCCUUUCACAAGCUCUUUGGAGAAUGUAAAUGUAGCCUUUCUAUCCGGUGCCCUUUAUUAAAACAACCACAGAGACAGGGUUGAUAAACAAGACAAUUACAUGUAAAUGAUGUCAUCUCUUGGCAUUCAUUGGCAUUAAUGAGACUGGCCAGAUCCCACUCAGAGGGUAAUAACUGGAAAGCUGGGAGACUCAGAAUCAGAUUAAAAAUCAACUAAGAGGCAUCAGUGACCUUUCUUUAUAACUAAUGGCCCGGCAUGGGGAUGCCCUCAUGUGGCAACUCGGACAAACCUUCUCCUGAUUCCGAGGAUGAUUAAACGUAAGCGGCGAAUAUUUAUUAUUUAUCACUGACUAAGCUGCCCUUCCAGGCCAAUUGUCCCGUAAGAGGAAUGAAGUUAGAAGCAGUUUGGGGAGGCUCAUUUAGUCAUUCAACAAACAUUGGUUUUGUAUCUAUUAGAUGAAAAAACCCUGUCCUUGUACUGUUGGAGGGAGGGAGGGAAGGAGAAAUAGAGACAGAGACAGAGGGAGAAAGAGAGAGACAGAAACAGAGGCACAGAGACAGAGAGAGACAGAGACAGAAAGACACACACACACACAGAGACAGACAUAGAGAGACACACACAGAGACAGAGGGAGAGAAAGACAAGCAGAAUUCAUUUCUAAGAGGGACAUAGGAGAUUUCUCUAAUUCUAGGUCAGUGAGCUUCUUCUCUAUUCCUUGCAAAAUUUUAUUAGUCCAUCAUUUUCCCCUUAAAAACGUCAAAGUAUUCACAAACACAUGAAAAAUGCUCCAAAUUGUUACUAAGAGAACCGGAAAUCAAAAUAAGGUUUUACCCUCAUAACCUGCAAAUUGGCAAUAAUGAUAAAAACAUAGCACUUAUCAAUGUUGGAAUUAUGGGAAAAUAGGUACACUAGUACAUUGUUGGUGGAACUCUUGGAGAGUGUUGAAAAGCAAUUUGGAAUUAUGCCAAUAAAAUGAAUAAAAUUUUUAUACCUGUACCUUUUGAACCAGCAUAUACUCCAAAGAAGUCAUUCAUAAGAAAAAAAGUCUCCAUAUACUCAAAAAUAUUUAUAAAAGCAUCUUUUGUGUUAGCGAAGAAUUGGAACAUAGUAGAUGCCCAUCUACUGGAGAAUGGCUAAAUAAUUUGUGUUAUAAGAAUGUAAUGGAAUUUUAUUAUGCUAUAAGAAAUAAUGUGUAUGAUGAACACAAAGAGGAAAGGAAAGAUGUGAAUUGAUGCAGAAUGAAAUGAAUAUUUCAGAGUCAAGAAAACAACAUGUAUAGUAACUGCAAUAAUGUAAAUAGAAAGAACAAUGAUACCCUAAAAAAAACAAAAAAUUUUUUUUUUUUUAUUUAAUAGCCUUUUAUUUACAGGAUAUAUACAUGGGUAACUUUACAGCAUUAACAAUUUCCAAACCUCUUGUUCCAAUUUUUCACCUCUUACCCCCCCCCUCCCCUAGAUGGCAGGAUGACCAGUAGAUGUUAAAUAUAUUAAAAUAUAAAUUAGAUACACAAUAACUAUACCUGACCAAAACGUUAUUUUGCUGUAGAAAAAGAAUCAGACUCUGAAAUAUUGUACAAUUAGCUUGUGAGGGAAAUCAAAAAUGCAGGUGUGCAUAAAUAUAGGGAUUGGGAAUUCAAUGUAAUGGUUUUUAGUCAUCUCCCAGAGUUCUUUUUCUGGGCAUAGCUAGUUCAGUUCAUUACUGCUCCAUUAGAAAUGAUUUGGUUGAUCUCGUUGCUGAGGAUGGCCUGAUUAAUCAGAACUGGUCAUCAUAUAGUAUUGUUGUUGAAGUAUAUAAUGAUCUCCUGGUCCUGCUCAUUUCACUCAGCAUCAGUUCAUGUAAGUCUCUCCAGGCCUUUCUGAAAUUAUCCUGUUGGUCAUUUCUUACAGAACAGUAAUAUUCCAUAAUUUUCAUAUACCACAAUUUAUUCAGCCAUUCUCCAACUGAUGGACAUCCAUUCAGUUUCCAGUUUUUAGCCACUACAAAAGGGCUGCCACAAACAUUCGUGCACAUACAGGUCCCUUUCCCUUCUUUAUAAUCUCUUUGGGAUAUAAUCCCAGUAGUAACACUGCUGGAUCAAAGGGUAUGCACAGUUUGAUAACUUUUUGAGCAUAGUUCCAAACUACUCUCCAAAAUGGUUGGAUUCGUUCACAACUCCACCAACAAAUGCAUCAAUGUCCCAGUUUUCCCGCAUCCCCUCCAACAAUCAUCAUUAUUUUUUCCUGUCAUCUUAGCCAAUCUGACAGGUGUGUAGUGGUAUCUUAGAGUUGUCUUAAUUUGCAUUUCUCUGAUUAAUAAUGACUUGGAGCAUCUUUUCAUAUGACUAGAAAUAGUUUCAAUUUCUUCAUCUGAGAAUUGUCUGUUCAUAUCCUUUGACCAUUUUUCAAUUGGAGAAUGGCUUGAUUUUUUAUAAAUUAGAGUUAAUUCUCUAUAUAUUUUGGAAAUGAGGCCUUUAUCAGAACCUUUGACUGUAAAAAUAUUUUCCCAGUUUAUUGCUUCCCUUCUAAUCUUGUCUGCAUUAGUUAAAAAAACAAAAAUUAACAAAAUUUUACAAAUCAAGACAUAAGAGCUAUAAGAAAACACUUUUAACAUACUCCUUGAUGAGUUGGGAGGUUCACAUGUUUUAGACUUUUUCCAAUAAAAUGAUGUUAUGCUGAUUAUUUUUCUUUUCCAAAAAAUUGGUUUUUGUUCAGUCGUGUUCAAAUCUUCAUGAAACCAUUUUUCUUGACAAACAUCCUGGAGUGGUUUUACAUUUCCUUCUCCAGCUCAUUUUAUAAUCAAAACAAACAGGGUUAAGUGACUUGCUUAGGGUCACACAGCUAGUACGUAUCUGAGGCCAGAUUUAAACUCAGAAAGAUGUCUUUCUGACCCGAGGCCCAGUAUUCUCUUCACUGUGCUAUCUAGCUGCCCUCCACAAAGUGCUAUUUUCAUAUGGGAUGACUUUUGGAGCGAGGAAGUAUACAGGGAAUAAUAUAAUGAUAUAAGAAAGAGAAAAUAUCAGUGAAAGAUUAUUAAAAAUAAAAGAGUAGUUUUUGAAUACAUAGAAAGGAAAGUAGCAAUCACUAAGGACUAGUACAGCUUCAUCCAAAGUAAGUCAUAUUUUGCUGACUGAAAAGAAAAAAAUUUUUAAAGAGCAAGUCAUGCAUGCCAGAGUAAUCUAAUUUUCUUGUUCUCAGAGUUAUAAGACUGGGGAGUUCUAUCAAUAAAGUAUAUAUAAAUUUCAACAAAGCAUUCAAUGAAGUCUCUGUUGUUGAAGAGAGAAAUAGGAACUAAAUAGCACAUUUAGAUAGAUUUAGAACUGUAGGAAAACCUAGAGUAAGAGAGUGAUAAAGAAAGGCUACCUACAGAUAGGUAGUAUCCAGACCUGGUGUUCUUUUUUGUCGUGAUCAAUAUUUCUUUUUAAUAAUGUCUUCAAAAACAACACAAAAGGAAUGCUUGUCAAAUUGGUGGAUAACAUCAAACUAAGACAGGUAUUAUUACAGAAUUGGGAUCCUAGAGGAUCUCAAUAGAUUGAAAUAAGUUUUUGAAGCUAGUAAAGAGAAAUGAUUGAUUCAUAUUCACCUCACAAUAUAUCCAACUUCUCAGAUCUUUUAAAUUUGAAUUGUUGUUUGAUCAAAUGAAUUAACAUAUUUACAUAUGUUAUACAAACAUAUGCUUUUAAAUCUUAAAGUACUAUAUAAAGCUAUUAUGUCUUUCCAUAUUGUAUUUGUAAAGUUUAUUUUGUAUUUAUCAUAAAUUAUAUACUUUAUAUUUAUAUUAUACAUUUAUCUUAAUUGUUUCCUUAUUUGAUUCAGUCCAUUAUUUUACCUUUUUAAUAAUUUUUAUUCAAUUUCUAUCAUGUCAGUGUAUUAGCUAUCUUUCCCAGCUUCAUAUCAUCUGCACAUUUUGAUCAACAUCCCAAAGGAUAACUUUUCAAUAUCAAUGAUAAAAAUGUUUAAGAGCAUAGGAUCCAGGAACACAUAUAUCUAGAAUACUCCACUGGAAACCUCCCUCCCAGCCAAGUUAACAUGGACCCAUUAAUUUUGGUCUAGGUGUCAGCCAUCUAAUUAUACUGGAAUCCAUCUAACUAUAUAUCUUUGUCUUAUACACAAAGAUUGCAUGAGAAACUUUGUCAAGUGUUCUCCUGUAAUCAAAGCAAUACAGAUAUCCUGUAUUGGUAAAUUAUAUAUUUGAAACAUUCUUGUAAUUGAUUAGAUUAGAAAUACUAGAUUUAGGAUCAUAGUUCUAGAGCUGGAAGCAGGAGGUUGCUAGUAAAUGUUUAAUAGACAUCUUUAGAAAAAAAUUUAUUAUGACACUUUUUUCCCCCUGAGGCAAUUGGGGUUAAGUGGCUUGCUCAGGGUCACACAGUUAGGAAAUGUUAAAUGUCUGAGGUCACAUUUGAAUUCAGGUCCUCCUGACUUCAGAUCUCUGGGCUUUAUCCACUGCUUCCUAUAACACACUUCUAAGUUUAAUCUUGAUUAUUAAUAUUUUCUCCAUUUUCUUAAGGUUAAAGUAGGUAAUUAACAAAACAAUAAUAUAGCCCUGAGUGGUAUUUGCUGAUUUCCAAGGUGAAAAUAUUUAUAUAAUUGGUAAGCCUAUUUGAGCUGGUUCUAGCACCUAUCUAGCUGUAUGAUUGGCUGGAAGGGACUUUGAAGGCCAUCUAUUCCACUUCCCUGAUUUUAUGGAUUUUAAAAAAACUAAGUUUAUGCUUUUCAAAUAUUAUUUCCUUUUCUAACAGUGCUCUUCCAUCUCUUUUAUCAUACCUUUCUUUCAUUCUUUUUAUAUUAAUUCUAUAAAUAUUUCUCUGUGUACUUGUUGCAAGUUUCUUGAAAUGAAAGAUGUUUCAUUGUAUGUCCAAUGUCACCAAGCACAAUGUCUGACACACAAUAGGUGCUUGCUUAAUAAAUGCUUACUGAUUUGCAGCUUUUUGAAGAUCCCUGAAUUGAGAGUUCAUAGGUAGGUAAGAAGAGAGAGUUUGGAAGUUCAAAGAAAGAAAAAAAAAAAGAGAGCGUGACAAAGUAAAAAAGAAAAAAAAAUCAGGAAUAACAUGAUAUUGAAUGUGAAACUUGUAUGGAAAUUCUAUUCCUGACCUUUACUCUUAAUUUUUCUAGAGCCCCCUUUUUUCUCAUUUGUGACCUACAGAAGUUGGAUUCAGUUGAUGAUUCUAGUCUAGUCUUAAAUUCUAUGACAUUAAGUUAAAUUUGGAAGAGUGAGGGAAGUGCAUCCCCACAACACCCCUGGGACAGAUAAUGAGCAGAGUCUUCAGGCUGCCUGCCUUCCUGAGCAGUGGCCCUGCGGCUGCUGAUUCCCUGGCAGGCCAGCCCCGCCACCAGCACUGGGGCUGCUCAGAGAGUCCUGUCUGUGGGGGAAAGGAGAUAAGCAGGCAAGGGUUUGAGUCCACGGCAUAUUCAUGGGAAAGCAUGAAUCUGUAUGAGUACAGCUCAUCGAUAUGAAAGAAUAGAAGCCAAAGCUUCUGUGAAAUAGCAGCUGCAUGGAAGAUGGAUUGGAGAGAGGAGAGAUUGGAUGCAAUUAGUAAAAUAUUUCAGUGGUUCAGGACCAGAGUUCCAGAUAUUAGAAAUUCCAGCAACAGACUUUUACCUCAAAGGCCCAGCUAAAGAAAAAGGAUUUAGAUGUCAGAUCUCUUGUUGUGUGAACCUGAUUUCUGGAAAAGAUUGCUGACAGCAGAAGAACAGCUUCCUGCUUGAUAGCGAGUGGACCUGACCGGCAUUUAAUGUUUAUUUAUCAAAGUAGCAAAUCCCUGAUAAUUCACGCUGGGAUAACUUUGCACAAUGAGGCUGAUGUCACAGGAACACGUUUUAAUUAAGCGAGGACAAGUGAGGAUCAUAGAAAUCUCCAAGAGAUCACAGGGAACUCUAUGGCCUUGGAUUCUAACCCUUCAUUUUACAGAUGAAGAAAUUGGGGCAAACAGGGAUAAGUGACUUGUCCAGGAUCAUACAAGUAGUAAGUGAAUGAGAUCAAACAACCGCAGACUUGGAAUCGAAUUGAGAAAUUAUGAAGUCCGAAAUGUUCAGGAGUAUGAAGGUCUCCAGUAACGCAGGAGCUCACUACUUUCACUAUCACUUUUGGACAGCUCAUCUUAUACAUGAAGGAACUGAGGAAAACAGUGAUGACUUGUCCAGUCACAUAGCUGGUAAGUGUCUGAUGCCAGAUUUGAACUCACAAAGAUGAGGCUUCCUGACUCUAAGCCCAGAAUGCUAUCUAUUGUGAUACUACUCUCUGGAAAUAUUAAAAAAAAUUAAUCCAUCCUUCCCUUCAAGAGGAAAGAAUCCUAAAAUGCAGAGAGUUUAAUGUGAAAGGGCCCUGAAAUCAUAGAGCAUAUAUAACUAAAACUGUUAAGACUCUAUAUUGGGAUGAUACAUGUAGAGUGUUAAAAAUCUAUAAAUUUUUAUAAAUAAGUUUGAACUCUAUAAAAUCUUAAUCAUCACCCAGUCUAACUCUCUCAUUUUACAGAGAGGGAAGUGAAGGUCUAAGAAGAAAUGCUUUUUUAAGAUUAUACAGCCUAUACUUGACUGCAGGUCUUCCUACAGCUAGCUGCCUCAGGAUUCUUUUCAUUUCUCUACUCUACUUCCAUACAGUCU